rfam:Gossypium arboreum cultivar AKA8401 contig_30330_1, whole genome shotgun sequence.
GGGUGCGAUCAUACCAGCACUAAUGCACCGGAUCCCAUCAGAACUCUGCAGGUAAGCGUGCUUGGGCGAGAGUAGUACUAGGAUGCGUGACCUCCUGCGAAUUCGUCGUGUUGCAUACC